GCUUCUCUGAUGUUAGCGGCGGACGGGUGAGUAACACGUGGAUAACCUACCUAUAAGACUGGGAUAACUUCGGGAAACCGGAGCUAAUACCGGAUAAUAUUUUGAACCGCAUGGUUCAAAAGUGAAAGACGGUCUUGCUGUCACUUAUAGAUGGAUCCGCGCUGCAUUAGCUAGUUGGUAAGGUAACGGCUUACCAAGGCAACGAUGCAUAGCCGACCUGAGAGGGUGAUCGGCCACACUGGAACUGAGACACGGUCCAGACUCCUACGGGAGGCAGCAGUAGGGAAUCUUCCGCAAUGGGCGAAAGCCUGACGGAGCAACGCCGCGUGAGUGAUGAAGGUCUUCGGAUCGUAAAACUCUGUUAUUAGGGAAGAACAUAUGUGUAAGUAACUGUGCACAUCUUGACGGUACCUAAUCAGAAAGCCACGGCUAACUACGUGCCAGCAGCCGCGGUAAUACGUAGGUGGCAAGCGUUAUCCGGAAUUAUUGGGCGUAAAGCGCGCGUAGGCGGUUUUUUAAGUCUGAUGUGAAAGCCCACGGCUCAACCGUGGAGGGUCAUUGGAAACUGGAAAACUUGAGUGCAGAAGAGGAAAGUGGAAUUCCAUGUGUAGCGGUGAAAUGCGCAGAGAUAUGGAGGAACACCAGUGGCGAAGGCGACUUUCUGGUCUGUAACUGACGCUGAUGUGCGAAAGCGUGGGGAUCAAACAGGAUUAGAUACCCUGGUAGUCCACGCCGUAAACGAUGAGUGCUAAGUGUUAGGGGGUUUCCGCCCCUUAGUGCUGCAGCUAACGCAUUAAGCACUCCGCCUGGGGAGUACGACCGCAAGGUUGAAACUCAAAGGAAUUGACGGGGACCCGCACAAGCGGUGGAGCAUGUGGUUUAAUUCGAAGCAACGCGAAGAACCUUACCAAAUCUUGACAUCCUU
rnacentral:rRNA from 1 species